rnacentral:rRNA from 1 species
AGAGUUUGAUCAUGGCUCAGAACGAACGCUGGCGGCGUGCUUAACACAUGCAAGUCGAACGAGAAAGCUUCUUUCGGGAAGUGAGUAGAGUGGCGCACGGGUGAGUAACGCGUAGGUAAUCUACCCUUAUAUUUGGGAUAACAUUGGGAAACUGGUGCUAAUACCGAAUGGUCUUCAUUGCUUUGGGGUGAUGGAGUAAAGGUGGCCUCUUCAUGAAAGCUACCGUGUAGGGAUGAGCCUGCGUACCAUUAGCUAGUAGGUGGGGUAACGGCCCACCUAGGCAACGAUGGUUAGCGGGUCUGAGAGGAUGAUCCGCCACACUGGAACUGGAACACGGACCAGACUCCUACGGGAGGCAGCAGUGAGGAAUAUUGCGCAAUGGGGGAAACCCUGACGCAGCGACGCCGCGUGAGUGAGGAAGGUUUUCGGAUCGUAAAGCUCUGUCAGAAGGGAAGAAGUGUUAUACAGUUAAUACCUGUAUAAUUUGACGGUACCUUCAGAGGAAGCACCGGCUAACUCCGUGCCAGCAGCCGCGGUAAUACGGAGGGUGCGAGCGUUGUUCGGAAUUACUGGGCGUAAAGGGCGCGUAGGCGGCCUGAUAAGUCAGAUGUGAAAGUCCACGGCUCAACCGUGGAAGUGCAUUUGAAACUGUCAGGCUUGAGUAUCGGAGGGGAGUGUGGAAUUCCCGGUGUAGAGGUGAAAUUCGUAGAGAUCGGGAGGAACACCGGUGGCGAACGCGACACUCUGGACGAAUACUGACGCUGAGGCGCGAAAGCGUGGGGAGCAAACAGGAUUAGAUACCCUG